rnacentral:misc_RNA from 1 species
GAUGAAGAACGUAGCGAAAUGCGAAAAGUAGUGUGAAUUGCAGAAUUCAGUGAAUCAUCGAAUCUUUGAACGCACAUUGCGCCCCUUGGUAUUCCAUGGGGCAUGCCUGUUCGAGCGUCAUUACAACCCUCAGGCCCCCGGGCCUGGCGUUGGGGAUCGGCAGAAGCCCCCUGUGGGCACACGCCGUCCCUCAAAUACAGUGGCGGUCCCGCCGCAGCUUCCAUUGCGUAGUAGCUAACACCUCGCAACUGGAGAGCGGCGCGGCCAUGCCGUAAAACACCCAACUUCUGAAUGUUGACCUCGAAUCAGGUAGGAAUACCCGCUGAACUUAAGCAUAUCAAUAAGCGGAGGA